AAUAUUAUUCUUCGAUUAAUCUUUGGAUACUAAUGCCAUUAAUUCAUAAAGUCAGAAGAGUCGAGUGUAUUUGCGCAAUGAGUCAAAUGGAUUGGAGUCGUAUAAUAUAAAUGUUUGGAUUCAGAGCCAAGAUCACAAUAUAUUAUUCCAAACUGAAACUAUUAAUUAAGAAUAAUUUAUUUUUAGAUGUUGGAUCCUGCCUUCCUAAUCUGCAGCUAUUUUAAAAUUUGUAUUUUCCAAUCAUAGACAAAUAUACAUAUCAUCUGUGCUUCAAAC
rnacentral:lncRNA from 1 species